GGUCAGGGCCCUCAAGACCUAAUGUUUCUGAGACUAGCCUCACAGACACACAAAAAGGUGUGGUUUGGCAAUCUAGGCAUCCCUCAAUUCAAUCAAGUUACCCGUAGAGAUUAACUAUGACAACCCUUGUUAAAUCAUGAUUCUAGCUGGUGAAGAAUAAAGCAAUAUAAAAUAAAUGAAAAAAAAAAAAAAAAAAAAGAAAUACUGUUUUGUUCAAUUUUCAUUUUAUUCAAAAGCUCAUAAAAGUGUCUCACUCAAAUUAUUAACAUUGAUAAUCCUUUCCCCUUCUUACUAAUGACCACAAACUAAUUGUCUAUAAGCUCUGCUUAUACAAUGAAGAGAAACUGAAGCUGAGUACAAUACGAAGAGAAAGUCUCCUAUUUUUUUCUUACUAAGGACCAGAAUCCAUAAAGGUAAAUUCUCAGCGCUUUGUUUAUCUUCUCCUCACCCCACAGAAUUUCUUUAAAUGAAGAUAUUCCUUUUAGAAACCAAUCUAAUUAAAAAACCUCCACUCUAGCUUGUCACCUUUAUACUGUUUAAAGUCAUAAAAAAUGAUAUCUCUUGAAAUAUGAAAUUGGCUCAGCCUGAUUCCUGAACCCAAUUCAAAGGCAUGCUUCACUUUUGGAAGUCAUCCUUUGUAUAUAUAACAAGUAAUUUUUUACACCUUUUAGUGCCUGGCAAUAAAAAUUUCCAACAUAGAUCAGUAUGAACAGUGUCAAAUGAUUUGAUCAUGCCCAUUGCUUUUAUCAGAAGACAUGGGGUGGUCUCCUCACUUAUCAUAAGAUAACAAAGCUCUAGUAUAAUUUGGGGGACAACAAAUUAUUUCCAUAUGUUCAGUCACUUACCUAAUUAAAAGAUAAUUCUAGGAUCAUUUUUCCUCAUAAACUUCUAAUCACUAAAUUUAAUAGUAAAUUAAUUUAUCAAAAUACUUACUUGCCAAUUGUGACAACUAAGCAUUUGAAAUAUGGCUAUAACUAUUAAAACACAUGAAAUUUAAAACUAAUAAAAUAAUAUAAAAUAUCCAAUUAAUGGCAUCACAUUGAUAAUUUUUCCCAUACUGUAUCAAAUAAAAUGCAGUAAAAUUAAUGUCAUUUUUAUUGACUAACCUUUAGUGCCUUAAACAUUGCCACAAUGGUAUGUUAACAUAUCUUUCUGGUUCAUGUUUAUGGUUUCAUUGUAUUCACAUUAAUUGAUAUAGACAGGAUGUUUUGCAUAUACAUAUAAAUACCCAACAAUUAAAG
rnacentral:lncRNA from 1 species